CCUACGGGUGGCAGCAGUGAGGAAUAUUGGUCAAUGGCCGACAGGCUGAACCAGCCAAGUAGCGUGCAGGAUGACGGCCCUACGGGUUGUAAACCUCUUUUGUAGGGGAGUAAAGCGCCUCACGUGUGACUCUUUGAGUGUACCCUAUGAAAAAGCAUCGGCUAACUCCGUGCCCGCAGCCGCGGUAAUACGGAGGAUCCGAGCGUUAUCCGGAUUUAUUGGGUUUAAGGGGUGCGUAGGCGGCGGUGCACGUCAGCGGUAAAAUUGCGGGGCUCAACCCCGCACUGCCGUUGAAACUGGAUCGCUUGAGUGCGCGAGAAGUAGGCGGAAUGCGUGGUGUAGCGGUGAAAUGCUUAGAUAUCACGAAGAACCCCGAUUGCGAAGGCAGCUUACUGGACUGGAACUGACACUGAGGCUCGAAAGUGUGGGUAUCAAACAGGAUUAGAUACCCUGGUAGUC
rnacentral:rRNA from 1 species